AUGACGAGGAACCACGGUUCCGAAGUGAUUGAUACCAAGCUUCCAGGAAAAGCCACUAAGCUUCAGUCUAGAGUUGACCGUACCGCAAACCGACACAGGUGGGCAGGAUGAAAAUUCUAAGGCGCUUGAGAGAACUCAGGAGAAGGAACUCGGCAAAUUAACACCGUAACUUCGGGAGAAGGUGUGCCCCGGUAGCGUGUAGAGACUUGCUCUCGAAGCGCGAUGGGGUUGCAGUGAAAUGGUGGCUGCGACUGUUUAAUAAAAACACAGCACUCUGCAAACACGAAAGUGGACGUAUAGGGUGUGACGCCUGCCCGGUGCCGGAAGGUUAAGUGAUGGGGUACAAGCUCUUGAUCGAAGCCCCGGUAAACGGCGGCCGUAACAAUAACGGUCCUAAGGUAGCGAAAUUCCUUGUCGGGUAAGUUCCGACCUGCACGAAUGGCGUAACGAUGGCCACACUGUCUCCUCCUGGGACUCAGCGAAGUUGAAAUGUUUGUGAAGAUGCAAUCUACCCGCGGCUAGACGGAAAGACCCCAUGAACCUUUACUGUAGCUUUGCAUUGGACUUUGAACCGGUUUGUGUAGGAUAGGUGGGAGACUGUGAAGCCGGGACGCUAGUUUCGGUGGAGUCAACCUUGAAAUACCACCCUUAUUUGUUUGAGGUUCUAACCUUGGUCCGUGAAUCCGGAUCGGGGACCGUGCAUGGUAGGCAGUUUGACUGGGGCGGUCUCCUCCCAAAAGGUAACGGAGGAGUACGAAGGUACGCUUAGGGCGGUCGGACAUCGCCCACAAAGUGCAAUGGCAAAAGCGUGCUUGACUGCGGGACCCACAAGUCGAGCAGGUACGAAAGUAGGUCAUAGUGAUCCGGUGGUUCUGUAUGGAAGGGCCAUCGCUCAACGGAUAAAAGGUACUCUGGGGAUAACAGGCUAAUUCCUCCCAAGAGUUCAUAUCGACGGGGGAGUUUGGCACCUCGAUGUCGGCUCAUCACAUCCUGGGGCUGUAGUCGGUCCCAAGGGUAUGGCUGUUCGCCAUUUAAAGUGGUACGCGAGCUGGGUUUAAAACGUCGUGAGACAGUUUGGUCCCUAUCUGCCGUGGGCGCUGGAAAUUUGAAGGGGGCUGCUCCUAGUACGAGAGGACCGGAGUGGACGAACCUCUGGUGUACCGGUUAUGACGCCAGUCGUAUCGCCGGGUAGCUAAGUUCGGAAGAGAUAAACGCUGAAAGCAUCUAAGCGUGAAACUCGCCUUAAGAUAAGAUUUCCCGGAGUCUUGAACUCCCUGAAGGGUCGUCGAAGACCACGACGUUGAUAGGUCAGGUGUGGAAGCGCAGCAAUGCGUUAAGCUAACUGAUACUAAUUGCCCGUGUG
rnacentral:rRNA from 1 species